CUCUCUGUCUCUCCUGCCACCAUGUGAAGAAGGUGCUUGUUUCCCCUUUGCCUUCCGCCAUGAGUGUGUACUUGUUUGAAAUGUAUCUGGCCCAAUCGCUGAGCGUCCGCGCUGCAUUUCUCCAAACUGCCCAGCAGGGGGCGGUGCUACCUCGGCUCCGCGCAGCCACGGCUUCCCGCUGGCGAACCAAGGGCGCGGAAUCUGGAGAGGGCGAGGAACAUCUUUCCUCCCACCUGUCCCCCGCCAAGCCUGCCAGACCCGUCUCAUCCGUGCUGCUGCUUCUGAAAAUCAGAAGAGUGAGGAUGAAAUAAAGUCUUCAUAAAGGAAAA
rnacentral:lncRNA from 1 species